UUUACAUGAUGAUCAUAUCAGUUCUGCUUCUGAUAAAUUUGAAGACAACAUUUACCCACAUUCCUGAAGU